rnacentral:rRNA from 1 species
CUACGGGCGGCACCAGUGGGGAAUAUUGCACAAUGGGCGCAAGCCUGAUGCAGCCAUGCCGCGUGUAUGAAGAAGGCCUUCGGGUUGUAAAGUACUUUCAGCGGGGAGGAAGGGAGUAAAGUUAAUACCUUUGCUCAUUGACGUUACCCGCAGAAGAAGCACCGGCUAACUCCGUGCCAGCAGCCGCGGUAAUACGGAGGGUGCAAGCGUUAAUCGGAAUUACUGGGCGUAAAGCGCACGCAGGCGGUUUGUUAAGUCAGAUGUGAAAUCCCCGGGCUCAACCUGGGAACUGCAUCUGAUACUGGCAAGCUUGAGUCUCGUAGAGGGGGGUAGAAUUCCAGGUGUAGCGUUGAAAUGCGUAGAGAUCUGGAGGAAUACCGGUGGCGAAGGCGGCCACCUGGACGAAGACUGACGCUCAGGUGCGAAAGCGUGGGGAGCAAACAGGAUUAGAUACCCUCGUAGUC